rnacentral:pre_miRNA from 1 species
AUUUGAACCACCCAAGGAUCUUGCUGAAAUUCAGAUUCUAAUUCAGGAGAUAUGGGGUAGGGCCCAAGACUGUGCAUUUCUAACAAGCUCCCAGGUGGUUCUGAU